rnacentral:rRNA from 1 species
UGAAGCGGCAACAGCUCGAAUUUGAAAUCUGGCCUCGGCCCGAGUUGUAAUCUGUAGAGGACGCUUUUGGCGCGGUGCCUUCCGAGUUCCCUGGAACGGGACGCCACAGAGGGUGAGAGCCCCGUAAGGUCGGACACUAAGCCUCUGUAAAGCUCCUUCGACGAGUCGAGUAGCUUGGGAAUGCUGCUCUAAGCGGGAGGUAAACUUCUUCUAAAGCUAAAUACUGGCCAGAGACCGAUAGCGCACAAGUAGAGUGAUCGAAAGAUGAAAAGCACUUUGAAAAGAGGGUUAAAUAGUACGUGAAAUUGUUGAAAGGGAAGCGCUCAUGACCAGACUUGCGCCUGGCGGAUCAUCCGGUGGUCUCCACCGGUGCACUCCGCCUGGCGCAGGCCAGCGUCGGCUGUUGCGGGGGGACAAAAGCUCUGGGAACGUAGCUCUCUCCGGGGAGUGUUAUAGCCCUCUGCAGAAUACC